AUGUCCGGGCGCGGCAAGGGCGGCAAGGGGCUGGGAAAGGGCGGCGCCAAGCGCCACCGGAAGGUCCUCCGGGACAACAUCCAGGGCAUCACCAAGCCGGCGAUCCGCAGGCUGGCGAGGAGAGGCGGCGUGAAGCGCAUCUCCGGCCUCAUCUACGAGGAGACCCGCGGCGUCCUCAAGAUCUUCCUCGAGAACGUCAUCCGUGACGCCGUCACCUACACCGAGCACGCCCGCCGCAAGACCGUCACUGCCAUGGACGUCGUCUACGCGCUCAAGCGCCAGGGCCGCACCCUCUACGGCUUCGGAGGCUAG
rnacentral:rRNA from 1 species